AAAAAGGGUCAGUUGGCUAAUUAUGCCACUCUCACCUGUAAUUGGUGAGUGUUGUAUGGUAAUCAAGACAUAUAGCUAACAUGAUCCA